rnacentral:rRNA from 1 species
AGCGAACGCUGGCGGCAGGCCUAACACAUGCAAGUCGAGCGCCCAGCAAUGGGAGCGGCAGACGGGUGAGUAACGCGUGGGGAUCUGCCCUUUGGUACGGAAUAACCCAGGGAAACUUGGACUAAUACCGUAUGUGCCCUUCGGGGGAAAGAUUUAUCGCCAAAGGAUGAACCCGCGUCUGAUUAGCUAGUUGGUGGGGUAAUGGCCCACCAAGGCGACGAUCAGUAGCUGGUCUGAGAGGAUGAUCAGCCACACUGGGACUGAGACACGGCCCAGACUCCUACGGGAGGCAGCAGUGGGGAAUAUUGGACAAUGGGCGAAAGCCUGAUCCAGCCAUGCCGCGUGAGUGAUGAAGGCCUUAGGGUUGUAAAGCUCUUUCGCCGGUGAAGAUAAUGACGGUAACCGGAGAAGAAGCCCCGGCUAACUUCGUGCCAGCAGCCGCCGUAACAC